AUGAUCGGACAACUUGAGCAGCUUUCAGCUUCUAUUUCACAUCAAGAUAUUAUAAGGUUCUUCGAACAUGUAUAUCUCAUCAUUUUGGAUGGCAACAACCGCAAUCGCAAACCUUUGGAGCUCACCCCCGGAAAAAUCACCAGCAUUACGAUCUAUAACUUGAUUAAGCUCAAGAUUAGUACAAAGCUCUUCCUUCAUAUCUCUCAUUCUUUUAGUCUAGAACCUUCCCUACAUUCCCUUGCACUCCUUUUGGAAUAUGAUCAACAUACUGAGGCUUGA